ACGGUAGAGUAUUCGGCUUUUAA
rnacentral:tRNA from 1 species